AUAAAUCAGCUGUGGAGCUAGCAG
rnacentral:piRNA from 1 species